GUGGAUUAGAUACCCCGGUAGUCCUAGCCGUAAACGAUGGGCACUAGGUGUUGGAGGUAUCGACCCCUCCAGUGCCGCAGCUAACGCAUUAAGUGCCCCGCCUGGGGAGUACGGUCGCAAGACUAAAACUCAAAGGAAUUGACGGGGGCCCGCACAAGCGGUGGAGCAUGUGGUUUAAUUCGACGCAACGCGAAGAACCUUACCUGGGCUUGACAUCCCCUGAAGGUGCUGGAAACAGUACCGUCCUUUACGGGACAGGGUGACAGGUGCUGCACGGCCGUCGACAGCU
rnacentral:rRNA from 1 species